GACGAACGCUGGCGGCGUGCUUAACACAUGCAAGUCGAACGGAAAGGCCCUGCUUUUGUGGGGUGCUCGAGUGGCGAACGGGUGAGUAACACGUGAGUAACCUGCCCUUGACUGUGGGAUAACUUCAGGAAACUGGGGCUAAUACCGGAUAGGAGCUCCUGCUGCAUGGUGGGGGUUGGAAAGUUUCGGCGGUUGGGGAUGGACUCGCGGCUUAUCAGCUUGUUGGUGGGGUAGUGGAUUACCAAGGCUUGGACGGGUAGCCGGCCUGAGAGGGUGACCGGCCACGUUGGGACUGAGAUACGGCCCAGACUCCUACGGGAGGCAGCGGUGGGGAAUAGUACACAAGGGGCGGAAGCCUGAUGCAGCCACGCCGCGUGCGGGAUGACGGCCUUCGGGUUGUAAACCGCUUUCGCCUGUGCCGAAGCGUGAGUGACGGUAAUGGGUAAAGAAGCACCGGCUAACUACGUG
rnacentral:rRNA from 1 species